AGCACUUAAAGAGCAUGCAGGAGUAAAGAAAUAGGCCCUUAGAAUUUGUCUGUUGCUACUCACUGAAGGUUAAAGGAAAAGAAAACUUGCAUUUUCAGGAUGUGUGUUUUUAAUGGCUGCAGACCAUGCUGCAUAUGUGCUUAGCUUGAAAGACAGUGGAAGUAUAGAUAUCCCUCAGAGGUCAGCCAGGGAUAUUUUUGAGUUCCUGUGUUUCUCUGUAAAAUUUGGAUUUUUUUUUUUCCUUUAGGAGUGGACGAUAAGGGAAUAAAACAAAGCGAGUUCAAACGACCUGAAAAAAGAGAGGAGGAUGUAGAAACUGGCAUUCAAUGACCUGCCGUCUUGAGAAUGGUGACCGCCCAACCCACCGCAGAUUUAGCGACCUAGAAUGUUAGAGCUGGAAGGGAACAUUCUUGACAUUUUACAGGUGGCGGGAGAAUGGGAAGAUGUAAUGAAGUCUCACAUCUGGGGUUGUCCGGCAGCUUACCCAGAGGCAAAUGGCUCCCAGGUUUCAUCAGCAGCCUUCUUGAAUACUUUCACAGCCACAUCAACAGCAGGAC